GAUGAACGCUAGCGGCAGGCUUAACACAUGCAAGUCGAGGGGCAGCAAGGGUAGCAAUACCUGUUGGCGACCGGCAAACGGGUGCGGAACACGUACACAAUCUACCUUUAUCUGGGGAAUAGCCCGAAGAAAUUCGGAUUAAUACCCCAUAAAAUAACAGAGUGGCAUCACUUAAUUAUUAAAACUCCGGUGGAUAGAGAUGAGUGUGCGUCCCAUUAGCUAGUUGGAGGGUAAUGGCCUACCAAGGCGACGAUGGGUAGCUGGUGUGAGAGCACGACCAGCCAC
rnacentral:rRNA from 1 species